rnacentral:rRNA from 1 species
CCGCCGGCGACCGGCGCACGGGUGAGUAACACGUAUGCAACCCUGGCCGCGACAGAUGGAUAACCGGGAGAAAUCCCGCCUAAUACAACAUAAUGCCGGGAGGGGACAUCCCCCUGCCGGCCAAAGGGGGCGACCCCGGUCACGGAUGGGCAUGCGGCGCAUUAGGUAGUUGGUGGGGCAACGGCCCACCAAGCCGACGAUGCGUAGGGGUUCUGAGAGGAAGGUCCCCCACAUUGGAACUGAGACACGGUCCAAACUCCUACGGAAGGCAGCAG